GAUCACUGGAUUGUCUUCUGCGUUUGGUUUUGACAGCCAGGGUAGGAACUUUUAGCACGCAGCGAGGACAGGGACCAGCCAUUGGGGAUUUGAGCGAAUGUUUCGUCUUGGAUUCUGUUGAAGUGUAUACUUAACUGUUGGAACUGUGCUGGCAAUGACAGCCUCUGACACUCUGCAGAGCAGAAGACCCCAGUGUAGGAAUGGCAGUGCCUAUUCUGAAAGUGAGAAGAAAAAAUAGCUGCGAGGUCUCCCCAAUCUGGAAUGUGUUCCGGCUUUGGAUCGGAGGACUGUGCUGGUUUUCUUCAGAAAAUUCCUCUCUUUUCUGGCUGCCUCCCUGCAAGUACAAAAAUGAGCCAAGUAGGGGGAAAUUCUCUUCAGAAAACUAAGGCGAAGGGGUCUUUUUGAAAUUUGUACAUUCUCACUGACUAAGAAGGGCUAAUUCCACCCCCACUUUGGUCGAUUCCCAAAUGGAAUAUCUUUGGGUUGGGAGAUGAGGUGCUGCAAUUUCCUUCCACGUGAGAGAUUUCUAUGCAUGGAUGGGCAAAAUACACAAGGAUGAAGCUUACCCCAUUCUGGGUUCUUAUGAAAUUUAUCUUGCUGUUCCUGGAAAACCAGAGACCUCCUCCUCAUCCCCCCCCCCCGGCUCAAUAACGAUCUUGCUGGCAACUUUUUCCACAUUCCUUUGUACUCCAGGGUGUUCAUUUCACCUUCGUCGGAGUUGUGGGUAUGUAAGAAGGAACCAGACUGAAUAGACCCUUCUCUCUUUGCUGGUGUAUUUAUGAUGGGCUUGUGGUUUUCUGCAACCUGGUGGUGGUAACGUGUCAGGGCGUGUAUUUGACUGAAGACAUGUGUAGUUUAAACAACUCUUACCAAUAUGCCUUUCCCCUUCAUAAGCUGCUGAGGGCUGGUGUGUCUCAGCUGGCAUGCCUCUAUGCACAGAAGUCAGGCACGCGUAAGGAAUCUGGGGCGCUUCGUGACCAUAUAAGUGCAGAUGCAUUUUUGACAAGGGAGCAGUUGGCAGUUUGGCACUGGGGCACCGAGCACUUUUGAAGCUGACUGCAGAAACCAUUUAUCACUGAGCAGCCUUCUCCAGUCCCUGCUUGCAGACAUUCACAAUGCCCCUG